CCUACGGGAGGCAGCAGUGAGGAAUAUUGGUCAAUGGGCGGAAGCCUGAACCAGCCAAGUAGCGUGCAGGAUGACGGCUCUACGGGUUGUAAACUGCUUUUAUACGGGAAUAACGCGCCUUACGUGUAGGGCUUUGCAUGUACCGUAUGAACAAGCACCGGCUAAUUCCGUGCCCGCAGCCGCGGUAAUACGGCAGGUCCGGGCGUUGUCCGGAUUUAUUGGGUUUAAAGGGAGCGUAGGCCGCAUGUCAAGCGUCCUGUGAAAUGUCCGGGCUCAACCCGGGCCUUGCAGCGCGAACUGGCGGGCUUGAGUCCGCGGAAGGCAGGCGGAAUUCGUGGUGUAGCGGUGAAAUGCUGAGAUAUGACGAAGAACCCCGAUUGCGAAGGCAGCUUGCUGCAGCGGAACUGACGCUGAGGCGCGAAAGCGCGGGUAUCGAACAGGAUUAGAUACCCCUGUAGUC
rnacentral:rRNA from 1 species